AGUAACCUGAGAUGCACGAUAACUUCUGUUAAUUUUGAACCUACAUUUACUUUCAACGGGAUUCCUAUAUUGCCAAGCGGCUGUCAAGCCCUCACUCAUGGCAGGUUAUCCUGCCGGAGGAUUGGAAGGGAAGGCAAAAGGUUGGUUGCGGUCACCCACCUAGCAUAGCUAGGAGUCAAAAAACAGAAGGCGGCAUUUUGGGGAUAUA
rnacentral:other from 1 species